AGGGAAGUGAUGGUGAAACUUUUAUCACGCAAUUUAACUCUAGGGGGUUCCUCUGUGGGAGGCUGGGAGAAGAAGAAGAUGACCAUGGUGAGAAGGAAGAUGAAGAUGCUGUACCAUCUCUGCCCCACCAGACCUUGAAUGGUGCCCAUCUGCCAGCCACAAUGACUGUAAAACGUUUAAUAGAACCCUGGCUAUUGGGAAGCUAGCCCUAGCUAUGGGAUAAAGCUUUCUCAAGUAUAAUUUAUUACGCUAAGAGUCAUUAGUCAUUCUCUAAAUACAGUGGGCAUUGACGUUACAAGGUUUUUUCCCUUUUCUUUUACGCCAAGCCAAGGGCCAAUUAGAAUACUAACAAACAUAGGAUACCGCAAGGUAGUAAACAACUUGUUUGCGCUCGUCUGCUUCCCCUGUCGACGAAGCCUGCUGCCAGCAGCAGCAGUGGGGAUCUGGAUCUUUUGUAGCUGCUGUAACCCUUGGCUCUGCACUGCCGUUGUCCCCUCCAGAAUGUCUCAGUAAAACAGACGUUGGGGCUGUGCACAGUGUUUUGGAAAAGCAAGUUCACGAAAUGGCAACGCAGCAUCAGCUGAAUCAGAAUAUGCAUGUCAAAUAGUGACCCAGAGCCUACCUUGGAAGCUAUGGAUGCAAGGCAAGGAAUAACACACAUAGUCAACUUGGCAACUCCAGUUAGCCUCAGCAUGUUUUGAGACUGUGGGGGGAAACCGGAGAACCUGGAGUAACCCCACAACGCCAUGGGGGAGAACAUGCAAACUCCAGUAGAAUGAAGCCUUUGGUGGGCACUCGAACUCUGAUCCCAGUGGUGUGAGGUAAUAGUGCUAACCAGUGUGCCACCAUGUUGCACCAUUGAUCAAAGUCAAUAAUUUAAUUCAAGAUUUAAUUGGCCAUGUGCAAGCCUAUAGAAAUUCCUACUUGUUGAACCAAAUAAGUAAUAGACAAUUGAUGUGCAACAACAGUGCAAUGAAAUAAGCAACAAUUCGCUACAAUAAUUCAAUGUGAGAAUAGCGGACAACUGCAUUUCUUUUCAAGUAAAGUCAGUGAUUUGUGUAUGAGCACCAGUAAUGCAAAGGCUGACAUGUGUAACAUGGUGCAGGUGGUGGAAACAUCUUGAGUGGCGUGUGGAGACUGUUGAACUGUUGAAGUCAUAUUAUUGAUGAUUCAUCUUGCCUGCAUGCACAAAGUAGUGCUUAUUAGUUUGUUGAAGAUCAAAUUAGGUCAAAAUGUUUGUGCCAUUUGUACUACAGAUUUAAUUAUGUAAAUUUACAGAGCUGAGAUGGAAAUUUUUCAUUUCUUUUUAUGUAAUAGUCAUACUUAGGUGAAGUAACUCCUUUAAAUAUUCUUUUUCCUGGAAUAUUCUGAAUGCAAAUCUAAUUGUUUAACAAUUACAUUUCCAUUUUGAGUAAAUACAUGUAAUUUCUGAAUGCUGCAAAGACAUUAGAGUAACAUUUUAUUAUCAGAGAAGCAACACAAGAACUAGUAUUUGUCUUACACUGAUCUGAAACUCAUACUUACAUCUGUAAAUAUUGACCAAUCGACUGCUGUUCAUGGAAUGUUCAGAUAUAUAUAGAAUGCAUUCCGACAAAUACCAAACCACUAACAUGGUUCACAGUUAUAUUUAUUUCUUUUUAUUAUAUACACUUCCCUGAUAAUUAGAGGUGAGUGUAAAAACAUAUUUGGGUAAGUUGGGGCACAUUAGCAACAUAUAUUUUCACAAUGAUAUAUUUUCACAAGGAAAUUAACACAGAGUACCACAGCAGAUUUUCUAGAAUUAAACAUAUACCUGUAGAGACUAUGUUAAUAUGACUACAUAUUAAAUGAUGGUAAUACUCAGAUACUAGGAUUGUGCAAAUAUAAUAUAAAAAUAUAGCAUAUAUAAGCAUCUUACAUAAUUCUGUUAAAAUGUUAUAUAAAUAUAGGACAAAAAAAAGUUUCACUAGUCCAUUUAUAUAAAUAUAAAUGUGCAAACUGUAAAUCACAAAUAGAAUCAGAAUAUCUGUAUGACAGUCUAUUGGCUGCUGAUGAUUGCAGGCAUGAGAGAGGGGUCAUGCAGAGGACUGGAUCUGAAGGUUAGAUCUGGCUGACACAUGCAUCUGCCCUCUGGGUAUUAUCAUAAGCCAGAUGUCUGGGUAUCACCGGUGAUCUGGGCUCAGAUUAGGAUGUCUGAUAACGGCAAAGCGAAGGAGUAAAAAGAGUUGCUGUAUAUUUUAUUUAUGAUAUAAAUGCAAAUGAAAGUGGAAUGCCCCAAGUCAACAAUCACGGUUUGACGCCGAAGAAAGGACGAUUACAUACAACGUUAAUGCAAUAGCACUGGCUGUUUGCCUUGCUAAUAAGUCUAUUUCUAAAUAGAGAUGUAGAUUAAAAAGAUCCAUAUGGCAGAAGGGUCAGCUGCAUAUUAUAGCUCUUUGUAAAAGAAGACCACAUAAUUGCAGUCAUCAUUGAAUGGGAUAAGAAGAUACACUAUGCAGAGCUUCCUGUACAACACUAGUUCAUUUCUAUUCAAUUCAAAAUUUUAACAGAAGUCUAAGUACGAGAGUGGCAAAACAAUUUAGUUCUAGAUAGAAAUAUUCUGUACCAGCUGGAGAUGCUUCAAGUAUUUCAAUAGCCAGAUAGGAAAGCCGAAAAUAAUCUAAUUUCAAAUGAAACAGCGUGGGCCAGCUGUUCCACUAUAGCGAUAGUGAAUUUCUGACAAAACCAUAAAGUGGCUUUAUGGUUGUAUUCCUCAGGGGAAAGAAUGGUACCCCAUUCCAUGGGUGUCAGUUCCCAGUGGGCAACCACUUUAUACUACUUUUGGUUCCAGCUGAGCUCAUAAUUGAUUGUUUGAUUUUUCCCAUUUCACCCCUUUGCCCCCCUCAACACAUCCACAUACCAAGCAUCCGGUUCAGAACCCGCCCUGGCUUGGAUUAACCGUAUAGGCAUUUGGGUAAUAUUCUCCCUGUGUUAGAUGUAUUUCUGAAUUUCAUGACCCACCAACCACCUCCAUUUAUUUCUGAUGUGACGCCAUGUGUGCUGCUGCCCAGGGGUCCAGUCCUGUACCUACAGUACCAUAAGCGAGGCUGGUCCUCGCAGUCACCCCCAAAGUAUAAUCACCCAUUCCUGCACCUAGUGUUUUCAAGCUCUAUCUCACUGCUCCAUUUUUGCGUUGGUUCUUCCUCCUCGGUGUUGGUUUUCUGGUUUGAUUGAUUGGGUUUGGACUUUUGGCUUGUUCUCUGGUUUCUGGCCCAACUCUGUGUAUCGCAUCCUGGUUGCUAAUUGCUCAACCUUGCUCAGUCCCUCAGCUCUGUCAUUAAUGAUACCCAUUGCAACUGAUCACUUGAGUCCUUCUUAGCUACAAACCUCACAGUCAAGUCCUGCUGGCACUGAAGCACCAUGUUGGUGGAUGUGCAGCUUUAAGCCAAUGUUUGAAGGCAACUUUUGUGGUUUUUAAGGCUUCUGCAGAUUCUCCCACUAGAGAUAAGACCAUAUCUCCAACUGCAAGUUUUUCAUUGCUUUUCCCUCUGUUUUUAUUUUUAUAAACACCCAGCUUCAGAUACUUAAUCCUUGAUUAUCUCAGUGGUAAUAAAAUCAGGAUAAUUUGCACCAAUUUCUACUAUUUUCACAAGAUCUGAGCAAAUCAUCCAUCCAACCAUCCAUCCAUUUUCCAAACCGCUUAUCCUACUGGGUCACGGGGGGUCCGGAGCCUAUCCUGGAAGCAAUGGGCACGAGGCAGGGAACAACCCAGGAUGGGAGGGCACACUCACACACCAUUCACUCACACAUGUACUCCUACGGGCAAUUUAGCGACUCCAAUCAGCCUCAGCAUGUUUUUGGACUGUGGGGGGGAAACCGGAGUACCCAGAGGAAACCCCACGACGACAUGGGGAGAACAUGCAAACUCCACACACAUGUGACCCAAGCGGAGACUCGAACCCAGGUCCCAGAGGUGUGAGGCAACAGUGCUAACCACUGCACCACCAUGCCGCCCCUCUGAGCAAAUCAAAAGUGGACAAAUGGCAUAGAGAGUUACAUUCUCCUUUCAAGUAAUAAAAUAUUACAGCGCCUUCAACAAUAACAGGGGUGUUGUUAAUCAGGAAAACUGCACCAAUUAACAGAAUUAUUCAUUCAUAAAAUGUAAGUGUUUAUUUGUGUUCACCUUUCCCAGGUAAAGAGAAGCAUCAUUUCCUACAAAGUUAGGAUUUCCCUGGCUGUUCCCUCUGUCCCCCAGAUUCAUAAAAAUUUUAGAUGUGAUUGUGCAGUCUGUUAAACAUUCAGUUUUAAUUAUAAUGCUUCUGACCAAAUGUUGACAGAGUCCCUCAUAGUGAUGAAUUCACCUUGUGUUGUUCUGCAUUUGGGAAGCGGACACCAUUACUCUGCUUCCUGAAUCAUGUAUCGAAUUUAAUUUCUGUUUCCUCAAAUGUACAUAUAAGUGAAACUAGAGAAACGCUCUUCAUGAUAACUAUCAGCAGUUUGGAAGUUUAGUUCUUUUACUAUAUACAGUACCAAACCCACUUCAGACCAUUAUCAAAGAAAUCCUUAUUUUCAUUACAGAAUGACAUGUCGUUCCUUCACUUGCUGUACCCAUAUCUGUUCUGCUUGCUAAGAAAAAAGCCCCUUUGACAUUGCAUAACCCUCUUUCGCACAGAACACUCCAGCCAUAUUCUUUAAAUCGACUGCAUUAUUUUCUUUGAAAAGAAAAAUGGGCCAUAGAUGAUUGCUAAUAAUUAUACACCUCAGGUGGUUGAAAAGUAUAACCUAUGGGGGCUCCUCAGUCAUGUCCUUUCCCUGUUUUUUUCUGUGUCUAUGUGUGUUUGUGUGGGUGGCUGGCUUAUACCAUAUAAAGUCACCUGCAUUGGUCACCUCAGCUGUCCCCCAGCAUGUUGCCAUAGCAUGCAAUUCUGUGUUAAUCCACAACUAACCUCCUUCCUUUUGAUCUUCCACAAGUUAUUAUUGGAAUAAGAUUUACAGAGAGAAUUAUAAACAGACU